ACACAAGCCUAACUUCAUUUCCCCACCAGCCCAAUUUCUCAUUUGUCUUCUCCUAUCCAGAUAUAUGAACAGAAUCCAAAGCUCAACCAGUUCAAAAUUUCCAUUUCUCUUCAAUCUGUAACCCCUUUUCUCAUGGAAGUUUCUUCUUCUUCUUUAUGCAAUAGAUACAUUUCGCCUCCCAUUCGGUCAACACUACAGCCUCUCUCAAUUGCAUCAACCACUCUCUCACUCUCCCUCCACAACAACCCUAAUUUCGGCUCUUCCUUUCGCCGGAAAAACUCCUCUUCGUUUCAUGUUUCUAGCUCCGAUACUUUGGUGACCGGCUCGCGCGAAGUUGUCAGCAAGAAAGACCUGGAGUCUGCUGACUUAAAAUCUUGGAUGCACAAGAAUGGAUUGCCUCCUUGUAAAGUUGUUCUCAAAGAAAAGCCUUCCCAUGAUGAAAAUCACAGACCUAUACGUUAUGUUGCCGCCAGCGAAGAUCUUCAGGCUGGUGCCGUGGCGUUCUCUGUGCCCAAUUCGUUAGUUGUGACGCUCGAGAGAGUGUUGGGGAAUGAGACAAUUGCUGAGCUACUGACUACUAAUAAGUUAUCAGAGCUUGCGUGCUUAGCUCUGUAUCUAAUGUAUGAGAAGAAGCAAGGAAAGAAGUCAUUCUGGUAUCCAUAUAUCAGAGAGCUUGAUCGACAGCGAGGGAGAGGCCAAUUAGCUGUGGAAUCCCCACUUUUGUGGUCAGAAGCCGAAUUGUCUUACCUGACAGGUAGCUCCACCAAGGCUGAAGUUCUUGAAAGGGCUGAAGGAAUCAAAAGAGAGUACAAUGAGCUUGACACUGUCUGGUUUAUGGCCGGGUCUCUGUUUCAGCAAUAUCCAUAUGAUAUACCCACUGAGGCAUUCCCAUUUGAGAUUUUUAAACAAGCUUUCGUCGCUGUCCAGUCAUGCGUGGUGCAUUUACAGAAAGUCAGUUUGGCUCGGAGAUUUGCUUUAGUCCCCCUUGGACCUCCACUGUUAGCUUAUUGUAGCAACUGCAAGGCAAUGUUAACUGCUGUUGAUGGUGCUGUUCAACUGGUGGUUGACCGUCCAUACAAGGCUGGCGAAUCUAUUGUUGUCUGGUGUGGCCCGCAACCUAAUUCAAAGUUGCUUAUCAACUAUGGUUUUGUUGAUGAAGAUAAUUCUUAUGACCGUUUAGUGGUUCAGGCAGCUUUGAACACUGAGGAUCCUCAGUAUCAGGAUAAGAGAAUUGUUGCCCAAAGAAAUGGCAAACUGUCAGUGCAGGUUUUUCAUGUGUAUGCAGGGCGGGAAAAGGAAGCUGUUGCAGAUAUGCUUCCUUAUUUACGAUUGGGCUAUGUUUCAGAUACAUCUGAGAUGCAAUCUGUCAUUUCUUCUCAAGGUCCAGUGUGCCCUGUGAGUCCUUGUAUGGAACGAGCAGUGUUAGACCAGCUUGCUGAUUAUUUCACUAGAAGACUGGCUGGCUAUCCUACUACCCUGAGUGAAGAUGAGUCCUUGUUGGCAGAUUCUAACUUGAAACCUAAGAAGCGAGUUGCUACACAGCUUGUGAGGUUGGAAAAGAAAAUGCUAAAUGCAUGCCUGCAGGCGACUGCCGAUUUAAUAAACCAAUUACCUGAUCACACUGUUUCUCCAUGCCCAGCUCCUUAUGCUCCCUUAUUGAACUGAAAGGGUUAUAAUUUGGAUAAGUUUCUGCAGAAAUUACCAAUAUUUUAGUGGUCUUGCAAAAUUAUGGAAUUUCUUUGCAGUACUUGGGCAUAUCAGUUUCUCUUCGGAGAUUCUGAAACAGGUAGCUUUUAAGUUGGUACUGUGUACUGUAGGGCAACCAAGGACUACUGGUAGUUUGCAUUGGCUUAGGUGUUCAAGUGAGAUAAAUGGUGCUUGUGGUUCAAGUAGAUUAGGCUAUAUAGCUCCAUUUUGUUUAUCCUGGUCAAUCAAAAGUGCACAAAGGGUCAAAAUUGUAGAACGAUAAAAGAUAAGCAUGCUCAAAAUGUGCAUUGAUGAUUGGUCGAUUCUUUGUAAAUGCAGUUCUGGACCGCGGUUGUUAACGAGCUUUUUUGUACUUCUUUAAUCUAGAAAAGAUACUUGUGUCUCUGUGCUGUUUGGUCUUAAUAUGUUUUUAUAAAAUUUGAAUUUCUCCGAGCAA